rnacentral:lncRNA from 1 species
GGCGAUACUAUUGAGACUUAGGAUCAUAAGGUACGGCAGCAAUGGGUGUGAGGUACCCCGCCUUCUUGAGUCAUUCAUACAACUAUUCUAUGGGUUCAAUUAGAGGGGUGUAUUAUUUUGGUGGAUCUUUCUGAAGCUUGUGUUGAGGUUUGGUGGAUUGGUUGAAUUAUUGGUUUGUCAGUGGAUUUUAAUAAGACAUUGGAAGGUAGUUUGAUAUUGGAGCAACAAAUGAAGGUGGGUACCAAACCAUCUGUGGAGG